CAAAUGGAGGCCAAUGCGGCUGUCUCUACCUUGAAAAAUAGUAAGCCAAGUGCAAUACUACAUUUCUGGCGAGUUUGUAGAGGUUGGUAACCCCAUUAAGGACUUGAAAGAUGCAGAAGUGGUGAUUUCUAUCCCAAACUCAUUCCAUCACCCAUGUGGCCUGUGCAGAAGAGAGAAGGCUUUUGGAGAAUGAUGCUGAAUGAGACCAGGAGCUUCUGGCAGUGAUUCAGCCUCAACCCACAUGAGGAAUACUACACACUUCCCUACCUUCUACAUCAGAACCCAAGUUUCCUUAAGCAGAGACAGACUACUAAAGAAUGUCCCUUGCUCCCGCUGGCUGGAUAACCCCCAAUAACUUCCAGGAAAACUUCCCCUCUCCCUUGAGAAUACUGUAACUUUUAAUGAUUCCUGCAUUAAAAUCCUUUGAAAUGCC